rnacentral:rRNA from 1 species
CAGUAGCCACGGUAACACGAAGGGGGCUAGCGUUGUUCGGAAUUACUGGGCGUAAAGGGCGCGUAGGCGGCCAUUCAAGUUAGAUGUGAAAGCCCUGGGCUCAACCUAGGAAUUGCAUUUGAUACUGUUUGGCUUGAGUUCGGGAGAGGUGAGUGGAAUUCCCAGUGUAGAGGUGAAAUUCGUAGAUAUUGGGAAGAACACCAGUGGCGAAGGCGGCUCACUGGACCGACACUGACGCUGAGGCGCGAAAGCGUGGGGAGCAAACAGGAUUAGAUACCCCCGUAGUCCCUGUCUCUUAUAC